rnacentral:rRNA from 1 species
CUGGCUCAGGAGUGAACGCUGGCGGCGUAGCCUAACACAUGCAAGUCGAGCGAUCUCUCGGAGAAGAGCGGCGGACGGGUGAGUAACGCGUGGGUAACCUGCCCUGUACACACGGAUAACAUACCGAAAGGUAUGCUAAUACGGGAUAAUAUGUUUUGAUCGCAUGGUCGAAAUAUCAAAGCUCCGGCGGUACAGGAUGGACCCGCGUCUGAUUAGCUAGUUGGUGAGGUAAUGGCUCACCAAGGCGACGAUCAGUAGCCGACCUGAGAGGGUGAUCGGCCACAUUGGAACUGAGACACGGUCCAAACUCCUACGGGAGGCAGCAGUGGGGAAUAUUGCACAAUGGGCGAAAGCCUGAUGCCAGCAACGCCGCGUGAGCGAUGAAGGCCUUCGGGUCGUAAAGCUCUGUCCUCAAGGAAGAUAAUGACGGUACUUGAGGAGGAAGCCCCGGCUAACUACGUGCCAGCCGCCGC